GACAGAGGAUGCAAGCGUUAUCCGGAAUGAUUGGGCGUAAAGCGUCUGUAGGUGGCUUUUAAGUCCGCCGUCAAAUCCCAGGCUCAACCCUGGACAGGCGGUGGAAACUACCAAGCUGGAGUACGGUAGGGCAGAGGGAAUUCCGGUGGAGCGGUGAAAUGCGUAGAGAUCGGAAAGAACACCAACGGCGAAAGCACUCUGCUGGGCCGACACUGACACUGAGAGACGAAAGCUAGGGGAGCGAAUGGG
rnacentral:rRNA from 1 species